AAUUCGAUGCAACGCGAAAAACCUUACCCACCUUUGACAUGGCAGGAAUCCUUUAGAGAUAGAGGAGUGCUCGAAAGAGAACCUGCACACAGGUGCUGCAUGGCUGUCGUCAGCUCGUGUCGUGAGAUGUUGGGUUAAGUCCCGCAACGAGCGCAACCCUUGCCAUUAGUUGCUACGAAAGGGCACUCUAAUGGGACUGCCGGUGACAAACCGGAGGAAGGUGGGGAUGACGUCAAGUCCUCAUGGCCCUUAUAGGUGGGGCUACACACGUCAUACAAUGGCUGGUACAGAGGGUUGCCAACCCGCGAGGGGGAGCUAAUCCCAUAAAGCCAGUCGUAGUCCGGAUCGCAGUCUGCAACUCGACUGCGUGAAGUCGGAAUCGCUAGUAAUCGCGGAUCAGAAUGUCGCGGUGAAUACGUUCCCGGGUCUUGUACACACCGCCCGUCACACCAUGGGAGCGGGUUCUGCCAGAAGUAGUUAGCCUAACCGCAAGGAGGGCGAUUACCACGGCAGGGUUCGUGACUGGGGUGAAGUCGUAACAAGGUAGCCGUAUCGGAAGG
rnacentral:rRNA from 1 species